AGGAGGAUGGAGAGCUGGGCCAGA
rnacentral:miRNA from 1 species